rfam:Myotis davidii contig319754, whole genome shotgun sequence.
GUGCUCACGUCAGCAGCACAUGUACUAAAAUUGCAAUGAUACGAAGAAGAUUGGCAUGGCCUCUAUACAAGGAUGACACACAAACCAACCAACCAACCAACCAACCAAU